rnacentral:lncRNA from 1 species
GGGACGCAUCCUUUACUUGCAGCAGUUCCCAGUUCAGCUUCCCCUACCUGGAAGAGGCUGAAAUCAGUUGGGCCACGGACGGAUCCACACAUUGCUUGGCACCUUGGAACCGGUCAGAUUUUCUUCUGGCAUGAUUGUUGGAUGGGCGAGACCACGUUGGCAUCCCUAUUCCCCCACAGACAGCACACAUCUGCGAGGGUACAGGAUUUUUUUGACGACACUGGGUGGGAUUUUGGACGGUUAUUACAGGCCCUUCCUUCUCACAAGGCGGAAUAGAUAGGGGCAAUACCUUUAUGUGCAGAUACCCCGGACCGAAUUGUUUGGAAAAUUACUUCGGAUGGUGACUUUACCACCAAAUUAGCAUGGCAACUAGUCCGUUCGGUUCGCCAGCCUCAGGACUCAUAUCGACUGCUGUGGAGCUCUAUCUUGCCUACCACUAUUUCAUUCUUCUGCUGGAGACUGUGGCAGGAUCUCAUUCCAGUAGAUGUUGUUAUUCAGAGGAGAAUUGGAUGUCAGUUGGCUUCUCGUUGUCAGUGUUGUUCCGAGAUUGAGACCAUCAAUCAUAUUUUCACGAGCAGCAGCAUCUCCGACCAGGUAUGGCAGCACUUUGGAGACAUCUUUCAGAUACCUAUGACUUCAGGGGAGGGGGUCAGACAGAGGUUCCAGAGAUGGCGGUAUUCUGGACAGCACGUUUACCGUGGACACAUUCGUAUUAUCAUUCCUCUACUGAUAUUUUGGUUUCUAUGGACUGAGAGGAAUGAUGCGAAGCAUAGAGGUAUUCGUAUGGUGGCCAGACGUAUUAUUUGNAUUCAGGAGGAUGUUUACAGGGCGGUAUUGGACUUCUUUGAUGGUGGUCAUCUUCCACGGGGUUUUGCUGCUACUUCUAUUGUCUUGCUACCUAAGAAGGAUGGUGCUUGCAGAUGGACUGAAUUCAGACCAAUCAGUUUAUGCACAGUUUUCAAUAAGAUUAUUACUAAGCUUUUGAACACUCGGUUGAGUACAGUGCUACCGCGCAUUAUUUCCUCUCCACAGAGUGGUUUCAUCCCAGGCCGUCUGAGUGGAGAUAAUGUUUUAUUCGCACAGGAGCUUCUCUACACUUUGGAUGAUAGAGUGGGAGGGGGAAACACUAUGCUGAAGUUAGACAUGGCUAAAGCAUAUUAUCGCAUGGACUGGCGCUUCAUUUAUUCUGUAUUGGAGGCAUUUGGAUUUGAUCAGAUCUGGAUUGACAGAAUCAGGCGGUGCGUUUCGGAGUGUCGUUUCUCCGUACUCCUCAAUGGCCACCCAUGUGGUUUCUUUCCCUCCUCACGAGGACUCAGACAGGGUGAUCCUAUCUCCCCAUCCUUGUUCAUCAUUGCAGCAGACUACUUCUCACGCUUGCUCACUCAGAGGUUUCAGCAGUAUCCCAGUAUGUGUUAUCGGCAUGGAGGUAGUGCUCUUGUCUCACAUCUCUCAUUUGCUGAUGAUAUGAUCAUCUUUGCCAACGGUCAGAAACAGUCUAUCAGAAGGGUCUUAGACUGCUUGGAGCACUAUGAAGGAGUUUCUGGCCAAUUGGUGAAUAGAGACAAGAGCGGUAUUAUACUAUCCAGACGGGCAUCCACUAGUCAGAUCAGACGACUAGAGAUUUUGACUGGCUUCAGACAUCAGCAGCAGCCUUUCACUUACUUAGGUGUCCCCUUAUUCAAGGGGACUAAGAGGAGCUUCCUUUAUGAUGACCUUAUCCAGAAGAUAAGGAAUAGGAUAUCAGGUUGGGCCUCACGAUUACUAUCGCCUGGGGGUCGUAUUACAUUACUGAGGUCGUACUUUCUUCCAUACCUUUACAUCUUCUUCAGAUUAUGCAGCCGCCCAAGGCAGUGCUGAAGAAACUUGAGAGCAUCUUCGCCCAAUUCCUAUGGGAUUCUAAAGAUCAAGCACGACGUCUACAUUGGAGGAGUUGGAAGGCAAUUUGCCUUCCUACUGAUGAGGGAGGCCUCGACUUUAGGAGAUUACAGGAUGUGGUGGACACCUUCUCCAUGAAGCUCUAGUGGCUGUUCCGAUCUCAGAGGUCACUUUGGGCUCAGUUUUUACUGGGCAAGUAUUGUAAGGGGACGCAUCCUUUACUUGCAACAGUUCCCAGUUUAGCUUCCCCUACCUCAAAGAGGCUGAAAUCAGUUGGGCCACGGACGGAUCCACACAUUGCUUGGCACCUUGGAACCGGUCAGAUUUUCUUCUGGCAUGAUUGUUGGAUGGGCGAGUCCACAUUGGCAUCCCUAUUCCCCCACAGACAGCACACAUCUGCGAGGGUACAGGAUUUUUUUGACGACACUGGGUGGGAUUUUGGACGAUUAUUACGGGCCCUUCCUUCUCACAUGGCGGAACAGGUUGGGGCGAUACCUUUAUGUGCAAAUGCCACGGACCGAAUUGUUUGGAAAAUUACUUCGGAUGGUGACUUUACCACCAAAUCAGCAUGGCACCUAGUCCGUUCAGUUCACCAGCCUCAGGACUCAUAUCGACUGCUGUGGAGCUCUAUCUUGCCUACCACUAUUUCAUUCUUCUGCUGGAGACUGUGGCAGGAUCUCAUUCCAGUAGAUGUUGUUAUUCAGAGGAGAAUUGGAUGUCAGUUGGCUUCUCGUUGUCAGUGUUGUUCCGAAAUUGAGACCAUCAAUCAUAUUUUCACGAGCAGCAGCAUCUCCGACCAGGUAUGGCAGUACUUUGGAGACAUCUUUCAGAUACCUAUGACUUCAGGGGAGGGGGUCAGACAGAGGUUCCAGAGAUGGCGGUAUUCUGGACAGCACGUUUACCGUGGACACAUUCGUAUUAUCAUUCCUCUACUGAUAUUUUGGUUUCUAUGGACUGAG